AAAAUGGAUUUGCUGUAGCACGUAUU
rnacentral:piRNA from 1 species